ensembl:snRNA U2 U2 spliceosomal RNA
AUCACUUCUUGGCCUUUUGGCUAAGAUCAAGUGUAGAAAGCAAAAUUCAGUUAAUUUCAGUAUGAAUAAAGUUUUACCCAAUGGAUUGAGUAAUAAAUGAUUCAAAAUACUUUAGCAAAUAUCUGUUUGCCUAAGUAUAGUGAAA